rnacentral:rRNA from 1 species
CCCUUAGAUGUUCUGGGCCGCACGCGCGCUACACUGAUGCAUUCAACGAGCCUAUCCUUGACCGACAGGUCCGGGUAAUCUUUGAAUCUGCAUCGUGACGGGGAUAGAUUAUUGCAAUUAUUAAUCUUCAACGAGGAAUGCCUAGUAAGCGCAAGUCAGCAGCUUGCGUUGAUUACGUCCCUGCCCUUUGUACACACCGCCCGUCGCUACUACCGAUUGAAUGGUUUAGUGAGAUCUUCGGAUUGGCGCCACUGCGGCUCAGCAAUGGGCUCGGUGGAUGCCGAAAAGUUGAUCAAACUUGAUCAUUUAGAGGAAGUAAAAGUCGUAACA